GGCACACUAGCUCAGUUGGUAGAGCAUGGUGUUUGCAACGCCAGGGUUGUGGGUUCGAUUCCCACGGGGGGCCA
rnacentral:tRNA from 1 species